rnacentral:rRNA from 1 species
GCAGUCGAGCGCGUAGCAUACGAGCGGCCGACGGGUGAGUACGCGUGGGAAUCUACCGUACCCUACGGAAUAACGCAUGGAAACGUGCGCUAAUACCGUAUACGCCCUAUUGGGGAAAGAUUUAUCGGGGUAUGAUGAGCCCGCGUUGGAUUAGCUAGUUGGUGGGGUAAAGGCCUACCAAGGCGACGAUCCAUAGCUGGUCUGAGAGGAUGAUCAGCCACAUUGGGACUGAGACACGGCCCAAACUCCUACGGGAGGCAGCAGUGGGGAAUAUUGGACAAUGGGCGCAAGCCUGAUCCAGCCAUGCCGCGUGAGUGAUGAAGGCCUUAGGGUUG